UGUUGAAACACUGGUUCCUAUAUGAUCAUUAAGUUAAGCACUGUCAAGCCUGGUCAGUACCUAGAUGGGUGACCACUUGGGAAUACCAGGUGCUGCAAGC